rnacentral:lncRNA from 1 species
CUUAGUGUCACUGACAGCGGCCGUGCAUAUUUUUUAAGUUGAAGAUUUGGUCCUUUUAAGAUUACAGGAGACCAAGAAGUGAACAAUAGCACCCAGUUCAAAUAUUCUUCACAGCUGAGAUUGGGAUAUGAACCAAAAGUCAGUUGAGAACUUACAAGAUAAACUGU